AUUGAACGCUGGCGGCAUGCCUUACACAUGCAAGUCGAACGGCAGCACGGACUUCGGUCUGGUGGCGAGUGGCGAACGGGUGAGUAAUGUAUCGGAACGUACCUUUCAGUGGGGGAUAACGUAGCGAAAGUUACGCUAAUACCGCAUAUUCUGUGAGCAGGAAAGCAGGGGAUCGCAAGACCUUGCGCUGAUUGAGCGGCCGAUAUCAGAUUAGCUAGUUGGUGAGGUAAAGGCUCACCAAGGCGACGAUCUGUAGCGGGUCUGAGAGGAUGAUCCGCCACACUGGAACUGAGACACGGUCCAGACUCCUACGGGAGGCAGCAGUGGGGAAUUUUGGACAAUGGGGGCAACCCUGAUCCAGCCAUGCCGCGUGAGUGAAGAAGGCCUUCGGGUUGUAAGAC
rnacentral:rRNA from 1 species